GGCUGCAGGAGCAGGAACAGUUCUGAGAACCAAGUCAUGCCACUCAUCCUCCCAGAGUACAGUGAAAUCUAUCUUAGGGUGAAAAUGUCCCGAGCAACAAGGCAAAGCGUCACGAAGAGGCUGUUGGGCACUGUGCUGGGGCUUUUGUGCACCCAUGUUUACUGUGUGGGAGGGGUGCAGGUGGAGCAGAGUCCCCCAGACUUGAUUCUCCGGGAAGGAGCCAGUUCCACGCUGUGGUGCAAUUUUUCCAUCUCUGCGAACAACGUGCAGUGGUUUCGCCAAAAUCCUGGAGGCCGCCUCAUCAACCUGUUUUACAUUCCUGCGGGGUCAAAAUGGAAUGGAAACUUAAAAGCUACGACAGUCCCUACAGAGCGCCACAGUUCACUGCUUGUUUCCUCUGCCCAGACCACAGACUCAGCCAUUUACUUCUGUGCUGUGGAGCCACAGUGCUUCGCAGGCACCUGCAGCCUGAACACAAACUCUCAGCCGGGGGCUCCUCCCCCAGCCAUACUCACCGCACAGAUCACCACACAGCAUAUGCACAGCUCAAUAUUCCAAUCCCGCCCUGGUAGGGUUUCAACCACAGAUACUUUUUGCUCUUCAAGUUUGGGAUUUGGGUCCUUAUCUUUCCUUCUUAAGCUACAUCUUUUUAUGCACUAUAAACCUCUAACUUGGAACCAGUAGAGAAGCUGAUAAGGGGACAGAAUGAAUAUAAAUAUUUAAGCCACAGUAUGCUUGACUUCCAAAAGAGUAAAAAGCAGAAGGAAUAAGAAGAAAAGAAAAAUUAUUCCAGUAAAGACGUUACAAAAUGAUCCAGCUCAGGGGGUGUCUUAAAAAUGUUUCAGAUCAGCGUCACCACAAUGUGUCCCAAGACAAUUGCAAAUACUUAUAUCUCAUUCUACUAGUGCAGCAAAGCAAGUGACAUAAUUUUUGCUAAGUGAUCAGACAUUGAUAAAUCUAUGGGGGAAAACUUUAGGAUGUAUAUUUAUUUCAUUCAUUUAAGUCGCAGUUAUGUUCUUGAGGCUUGUUUGUCCUGGGAUAUGGUCAAUCCUGAAGAGUGUUUCCUCCAUGAAGAAAAAGCAUGUGCACUCUGUUCUUCAGGGUGGAUGUCUGUUAGGUCUACUUAGUUUAUAGUUUU